AUUGAACGCUGGCGGCAGGCCUAACACAUGCAAGUCGAGCGGAUGAAGGGAGCUUGCUCCUGGAUUCAGCGGCGGACGGGUGAGUAAUGCCUAGGAAUCUGCCUGGUAGUGGGGGAUAACGUCCGGAAACGGGCGCUAAUACUGCAUACGUCCUGAGGGAGAAAGUGGGGGAUCUUCGGACCUCACGCUAUCAGAUGAGCCUAGGUCGGAUUAGCUAGUUGGUGGGGUAAAGGCCUACCAAGGCGACGAUCCGUAACUGGUCUGAGAGGAUGAUCAGUCACACUGGAGCUGAGACACGGUCCAGACUCCUACGGGAGGCAGCAGUGGGGAAUAUUGGACAAUGGGCGAAAGCCUGAUCCAGCCAUGCCGCGUGUGUGAAGAAGGUCUUCGGAUUGUAAAGCACUUUAAGUUGGGAGGAAGGGCAGUAAGUUAAUACCUUGCUGUUUUGACGUUACCAACAGAAUAAGCACCGGCUAACUUCGUG
rnacentral:rRNA from 1 species